AUUGAACGCUGGCGGCAUGCCUUACACAUGCAAGUCGAACGGCAGCGGGGGAGAAGCUUGCUUUUCCUGCCGGCGAGUGGCGAACGGGUGAGUAAUACAUCGGAACGUGCCCUGUAGUGGGGGAUAACUAGUCGAAAGAUUAGCUAAUACCGCAUACGACCUGAGGGUGAAAGUGGGGGACCGCAAGGCCUCAUGCUAUAGGAGCGGCCGAUGUCUGAUUAGCUAGUUGGUGGGGUAAAGGCCUACCAAGGCGACGAUCAGUAGCUGGUCUGAGAGGACGACCAGCCACACUGGGACUGAGACACGGCCCAGACUCCUACGGGAGGCAGCAGUGGGGAAUUUUGGACAAUGGGCGAAAGCCUGAUCCAGCAAUGCCGCGUGUGUGAAGAAGGCCUUCGGGUUGUAAAGCACUUUUGUCCGGAAAGAAAUGGCUCUGGUUAAUACCUGGGGUCGAUGACGGUACCGGAAGAAUAAGGACCGGCUAACUACGUGCCAGCCGCCGCCGUAA
rnacentral:rRNA from 1 species